AACAGUUUUUCACUGGAAGUAUACUGGUACUGAAUGAGCAUACCAUGAAUAGAUCAAGCUCUUUCUCAUCGCCGACCAAGCCUUGGGCCCCACCAUCCAGAGCCGAGUAUUUAGCCACCACUUGCUGUGACGUAGCCAGCUGAGCGUCGAUCCUCGGAAGC